GGAUUUUCGGUUUUCGUAGGUGACCUGCGGAAGAUCAUUACAGAGAACUUGCCCUUCGGGGUAGAUCUCCCACCCUUUGUUUACAUUACCUUUGUUGCUUUGGCGGGCCCGUCUUACGACCACCGGCUUCGGCUGGUCAGUGCCCGCCAGAGGACCCCAAACUCUCUUGUUAAUGUCGUCUGAGUACUAUAUAAUAGUUAAAACUUUCAACAACGGAUCUCUUGGUUCUGGCAUCGAUGAAGAACGCAGCGAAAUGCGAUAAGUAAUGUGAAUUGCAGAAUUCAGUGAAUCAUCGAAUCUUUGAACGCACGUUGCGCCCUCUGGUAUUCCGGGGGGCAUGCCUGUUCGAGCGUCAUUACAACCCUCAAGCUCUGCUUGGUAUUGGGCGUCACUGUCUCCGGUGCGCCUUAAAAUCAGUGGCGGUGCCCUUAGGCUUCAAGCGUAGUAAUUCUUCUCGCUCUGGAGGUCUGGUGUGUGCUUGCCAACAACCCCUAAUUUUAUCAAGGUUGACCUCGGAUCAUCUAGGGAUACCCGAUGAAGUUCAACUUAUAAAUCUAUUCUGGAAGGAAAUG
rnacentral:rRNA from 1 species